UACGUAGGGGGCAAGCGUUGUCCGGAAUCAUUGGGCGUAAAGAGCGUGUAGGCGGCCCGGUCAGUCCGCCGUGAAAGUCCAGGGCUCAACCCUGGAAUGCCGGUGGAUACUGCCGGGCUGGAGUCCGGAAGAGGCGAGUGGAAUUCCUGGUGUAGCGGUGAAAUGCGCAGAUAUCAGGAGGAACACCGAUGGCGAAGGCAGCUCGCUGGGGCGGUACUGACGCUGAGACGCGAAAGCGUGGGGAGCAAACAGG
rnacentral:rRNA from 1 species